rnacentral:rRNA from 1 species
GCAAGUCGCACGAUAAGGUGGCAACACCUUAUAGUGGCGCAAGGGUUAGUAAUACUUGGGUAACCUACCUCUUACCUUGGAAUAACGGCUGGAAACGGCCGCUAAUACCGAAUGAGGUGGACUUAGGGAUCUAGGUCCAUCAAUGCGGGGGAUCGUAAGACCUCGCGGUGAGAGAAGGGCCCAAGGGAUAUCAGCUAGUUGGUGGGGUAAUGGCCUACCAAGGCUAAGACGUCUAGGCGGAUUGAGAGAUUGACC